AGUCGAGCGGCAAGGGCCUUCGGGCCCCUAGAGCGGCGGACGGGUGAGUAACACGUGGACAAUCUGCCCCCCGGUCCGGGAUAGCCCAGGGAAACCUGGAUUAAUACCGGAUGAGACGGGACCCGCGGAGGCGGGAUCCGGGAAAGGCGCUGCGGCGCCGCCGGGGGAUGAGUCUGCGUCCCAUUAGCUAGACGGCGGGGUAACGGCCCACCGUGGCGACGAUGGGUAGCCGGCCUGAGAGGGUGGACGGCCACAUUGGAACUGAGACACGGUCCAGACUCCUACGGGAGGCAGCAGCUAAGAAUCUUCCGCAAUGGGCGAAAGCCUGACGGAGCGACGCCGCGUGAACGAAGAAGGCCGUGAGGUUGUAAAGUUCUUUUCGGGAGGGGGAACAACCGUGGCAGGGAAUGGCCGCGGGAUGACGUGAAUCCCGGAAUAAGCCCCGGCUAACUACGUGCCAGCAGCCGCGGUAACACGUAGGGGGCGAGCGUUGUUCGGAAUCAUUGGGCGUAAAGGGCGUGCAGGCGGUCCUGCAAGUCCGGCGUGAAAGACCCCGGCCCAACCGGGGGGACGCGCUGGA
rnacentral:rRNA from 2 species